rnacentral:rRNA from 1 species
UACGUAGGGGGCAAGCGUUGUCCGGAUUUAUUGGGCGUAAAGAGCGUGUAGGCGGCCCGGUAAGUCCGCUGUGAAAGUCGGGGGCUCAACCCUCGAAUGCCGGUGGAUACUGUCGGGCUAGAGUGCGGAAGAGGCGAGUGGAAUUCCUGGUGUAGCGGUGAAAUGCGCAGAUAUCAGGAGGAACACCGGUGGCGAAGGCGGUUCUCUGGGCAUUACCUGACGCUGAGGAGCGAAAGUGUGGGGAGCGAACAGG